AUUUGAAGAAAAAAAAACCAAUAAAAAUACAAACAGAAAGUACAAUAUAACAACUGUCAACAAUGUACAAUAUGUAUACAUUUUAUUAGUGAUGACUUAAAUUACAUGGGGCCAGGCAUGGUGGCUCACACUUGUAAUCCCAACACAUUGGGAGGCCAACCUGGGCAGCAUAGUGAGACCUUGUCUUUAUUAAAAAUUAAAAAAAAAAUAGCCAGGUGUGGUAGUAUGCACCUGUAGUCUCAGCUACUCAAGAGGCUGAGGUGGGCGGAUCACUGGAGCCCAGGAGGUUGAGGCUACAGUGAGCUGUGAUCGUGACACCGCACUCCAUCCUGAGUAACAGAGGAUGACACUGCACUCCAGCGUAAGCAACAGAGGGCAAUCCUGUCGCUAAGUAAAUAAAGUAUAGGGGGGAUGCGUGUUGGUUAUAAGCAAAUAUUACACCAUUAUAUGUAAGGGAUUGAGCAUCCACAGAUUCUGGUAUGGUGUGGGGGCGGUAUCCUAGAACCAAUCCCCCGCAAGAUAGCAAGGAUGACUGAACUAUGGAAGAAUCAAAGCAGUGUUACACAGCAUACAAUUCCUGUCUUCAAAAAAGUUACCUCAUCAGGUACAUGAGACUUAUAAUGAAUAAAAGGAAUCAAUACAGAUUUGGAGAUGGUGGUUGUUGUCAUAGAUAAUCUUAAUUGCGUUUUCUUCUAAAACAGAUAUGUUGUCACCGAAGGUCAUUACAAGAAGAUGAAGAAGGAUUCUCAAGGUAAAUAUUAGUCUGGUGAUUUUUUUUUUCUUCUCUUUUGAGAUGGAGUUUCCCUCUUGUUGCCAGGCUGGAGUGCAAUGACACGAUCUCGGCUCACGGCAACCUCCACUUCCCAGGUUCAAGCGAUUCUCCUGCCUCAGCCUCCCGAGUAGCUGGGAUUACAGGCAUGCACCACUAGUCUCGCGACGUUUUAAUUAGAAUUUUAGAAUUAGAGGAGGGCUUAGAACUCUGCCCUCAUUUUUCAGUGAGGAAACUGCCCAAGACAGGACAAAUACUUACCCUAAUGCUUAGCCUGGCUCCAGUGAAAUUAGCUCCCCAGCCAAAGCUGAGCUGGAUGGAACUAACAAGGACACACCUGCUGUCCCCAGCCCUUUCGGGAGGUGGGGAGGGAUAGGAAGGAGAAAGGUUUUGGUGCCUAUUGCUGCUGAUGGUGGGCAUCAGGCCAGGCCAGGGGCCUUCUUGGAGGCUCUGGGAAAGGGGAAGGGAAGGCCACCGGGUGUGAGAGAGAGGGCACUUGUCUCCUUCAAGGCUGAUGGAAGGUAG
rnacentral:lncRNA from 10 species